CCGACUAAGCCAUGCGAGUCAUGGGGCGCCUUGCGCGCACCGGCGGACGGCUCAGUAACACGUCGGUAACCUACCCUCGGGAGGGGGAUAACCCCGGGAAGCUGGGGCUAAUCCCCCAUAGGCCUGAGGUACUGGAAGGUCCUCAGGCCGAAAGGGGCUUUGCCCGCCCGAGGAUGGGCCGGCGGCCGAUUAGGUAGUUGGUGGGGUAACGGCCCACCAAGCCGAAGAUCGGUACGGGCCAUGAGAGUGGGAGCCCGGAGAUGGACACUGAGACACGGGUCCAGGCCCUACGGGGCGCAGCAGGCGCGAAACCUCCGCAAUGCGGGCAACCGCGACGGGGGGACCCCCAGUGCCGUGGCAUCGCCACGGCUUUUCCGGAGUGUAAAAAGCUCCGGGAAUAAGGGCUGGGCAAGGCCGGUGGCAGCCGCCGCGGUAAUACCGGCGGCCCGAGUGGUGGCCGCUAUUAUUGGGCCUAAAGCGUCCGUAGCCGGGCCCGUAAGUCCCUGGCGAAAUCCCACGGCUCAACCGUGGGGCUUGCUGGGGAUACUGCGGGCCUUGGGACCGGGAGAGGCGGAGGGUACUCCUGGGGUAGGGGUGAAAUCCUAUAAUCCCAGGAGGACCGCCAGUGGCGAAGGCGCUCCGCUGGAACGGGUCCGACGGUGAGGGACGAAGCCAGGGGAGCGAACCGGAUUAGAUACCCGGGUAGUCCUGGCUGUAAAGGAUGCGGCUAG
rnacentral:rRNA from 1 species